CCUACGGGAGGCUGCAGUAGGGAAUAUUGCUCAAUGGGGGAAACCCUGAAGCAGCAACGCCGCGUGGGGGAUGAAGGUUUUAGGAUUGUAAACUCCUUUUGUGAGAGAAGAUAAUGACGGUAUCUCACGAAUAAGCACCGGCUAACUCCGUGCCAGCAGCCGCGGUAAUACGGAGGGUGCAAGCGUUACUCGGAAUCACUGGGCGUAAAGAGUGCGUAGGCGGGGUUGUAAGUCAGAUGUGAAAUCCUGUAGCUGAACCACAGAACUGCAUUUGAAACUGUGAGUCUAGAGUAUGGGAGAGGUAGGUGGAAUUCUUGGUGUAGGGGUAAAAUCCGUAGAGAUCAAGAGGAAUACUCAUGGCGAAGGCGACCUGCUGGAACAUAACUGACGGUGAUGCGCGAAAGCGUGGGGAGCAAACAGGAUUAGAUACCCUAGUAGUC
rnacentral:rRNA from 1 species